UACGGGGGGGGCAAGCGUUGUUCGGAAUUACUAGGCGUAAAGGGCUCGUAGGGGGCCAAUUAAGUCAGACGUGAAAUCCCCAGGCUCAACCUGGGAACUGCGUCUGAUACUGGUUGGCUUGAAUUCGGGAGAGGGAUGCAGAAUUCCAGGUGUAGCGGUGAAAUGCGUAGAUAUCUGGAGGAAUACCGGUGGCGAAGGCGGCAUCCUGGACCGAGAUUGACACUGAGGAGCGAAAGCCAGUGGAGCAAACGGG
rnacentral:rRNA from 1 species